UGUACCCUACGGGAGGCAGCAGUGGGGAAUAUUGCACAAUGGGGGAAACCCUGAUGCAGCGACGCCGCGUGAGUGAAGAAGUAUUUCGGUACGUAAAGCUCUAUCAGCAGGGAAGAAAAUGACGGUACCUGACUAAGAAGCCCCGGCUAACUACGUGCCAGCAGCCGCGGUAAUACGUAGGGGGCAAGCGUUAUCCGGAUUUACUGGGUGUAAAGGGAGCGUAGACGGCAGCGCAAGUCUGGAGUGAAAUGCCGGGGCCCAACCCCGGAACUGCUUUGGAAACUGGGGAGCUCGAG
rnacentral:rRNA from 1 species